CCCGGACUGGCGGUGGUGCUGCGCUGGAAGGAAUCUGCCAUAAUGUUCCCCCAAGGGAGGGAAAGACAGGGUUACUGUUCCCAAAACAAUGUGCUGAAGUUUGGGCCAGAGGCAUUAUAGGCAUUUCUAGGGUUUUCCACACAGGCAAAGCGAAUGUCUUCUCCAGCCUUAUUGCUUUUCCAUGGAGAUGGAAAAUAUCAGUAAAAAUACAAAGUCCAGGAAAGCAAAAUGUCUCCGUAGAAUUUGGGCAGAUUUAUUCAGAGACUUUCCAGGGUUUUAUCAUCCAGUAGAGUACUCAUUUGUAAAAAUUCUCCUUUUUGCUAGGACUACAAGGAAGCCUGAAGGAACUGUGAAGGAACUGAAGGCAGAGUGCCCUGACACUGGCUCACAGGAGGCGGUGGGAUUUGCAACAUCAGAAAACCUUCCUGGGCCUUUCCUCCCCUUUUAUGAGAAGUAA
rnacentral:lncRNA from 1 species